GUUAAGAGUUUACAAACUGCAAACAACAGAAGCUGACGUGGACUCAUUUUAAUUGCAAAAGGAGUGCACUAGAAAAGCAUCAGAGAGAAUUUUCAGCAAAGCCGUGAUCAUCUGCAGACAUGACCAUCCUUUUCUACUCCUUACUGUCUUCAGCAUGACUUGUAGAUCUUCUUAUCAAGGAGGAAAUCUGCUUUCCACCCUCUUGAGUCUGAUCCUCUGAUUUGCUUUGGCCAACAGAAUGCAGUGGAAAUGACGACGACCCAAGACUGAGCCUGGGCGUACAGCCCUGUGCUUCUCCUCCUUCUCUGAGCACUUUUCCCAGCGGCGGGUGAAUAAGCUCAGCCUAGAAUUCUGGAACACGAGACUAUAAAGAACAGCCAAUCCCAGCUUAGGCCACCCUACAUCAGCAGUCCAUAUGGGUGGCUCCAGUUCACCAAUUCUCAAUUUUAGUGUGUGUGUGACUCUUACCAAGACCAGGAGAAAGGCUGACCCUCAGAAUUAUGAGGUAAACAGGUGGGUAUUAUUUUGUUACCAAGUUUGGGAAUUGUGACCAUUAAUCGCGAUGUGUCAACGUGACUGCGUUACUAGCAGAUCAGCAAACCACACCUGUGGGGUGUCUGGGUGGGUCAUAAAGGUGCCCUUGAGUCCUAUAUCUGGUCCCUGGCCCCUUCCUCUCUGUCACUCUUUCCAUUUCGCUUCCUGGAUUCUAUGAACCGAGCACUUUCACUCCUUCAUGCCCUUGGAGGAGUAAAACCUUCAUUUUCAGCAAGGGAGUCCUGGCCUAUGGAGGCGUCAGGCAAACAGCCACAUGUGGGGAGCACCUGUGUGACUGCUGCUGUCUCAGAGGGACCAGAGAAAGCUUUCAGAGUCAAGGAGGGUGCCUAGCUCAGACUCACUACCAAGAAAAAUCUGAGGAAACAGCAUUGGAACUAAACCCUGAGCUCAGAGAGAUAAAUAAUGAGCUGAGAGGAGAGAAGGGAGUGGAAGCCCAGCUGUGUGCAUGGGAAAAGUCGGUGUUCAUGCAAGGGAUAAAGGCUGAUCGCACAAGCAGCCACCACCAGCUGUGGUAAAGAGGGG
rnacentral:lncRNA from 1 species